CGGUAUUCAAAUUCUAGGAUGGUGUAUCUCCCUUAUUUCCUUAAUUUCCUUCGCCUUAUAUAUUAACUUUGCAGCUUAAAACUCUAGAGUACAGUUUCACUUAGUUGUAGAAGUCAUUUCAAUGAUAAGUAUAUAAUAUGUGAAGUUGUCAACUGCUGAUUACAAAUUAUAUGACAUUUUCUUUAUCAAUCUUUCCUUUCUGUAGGGGAGCUGAAAAAGCAGCCUUAUUAAAAAAAAGAUAUGAGUAAUGUUGCCUCUGUGAAAAGCCUGGAAAAGACUGACAGAUAAAAUUGAAAUACAUGGAAACAGGAUUGCCUGUCGUGUAGCCGGGCUGUCAGCUCAGCUACAGUGUUGUCAACAGAGGCAGACCCCAUCCAACACUCUUCAUGGAGAAGGGCACCAGUGAACUGAUAAGGAAAAAAAUAUCUUUCGUGGAGACUACAAGAAUUUUCCACAUGCUGACAGAAUCAUGAUUGUAAGGCCUUUUUGAUAGAGGUUUAGUAUCAUCACCUUCACGUUUGCAAGAGAACACACAGAAAAGAUCCUGUUGGAUGGGUAAGACCUUAAGAUUCUACUACAUUUUAUAUAUUAGCAUUUAAAUUUAAUAUUUUAAAAUAUAUUGCCUACAUAGGAUAGACAGGCAUAAUAUCCUUUGGGAUCUCGCACACAUUUCAGAUGAUAGGUUUCUUAUUGUGUAAUUUGUCUGAUUUUAUGUAACUAAUGGAAUUAAAAAAAAAAAAUCCCUGACCAAUGCAGAGUUAAUGCUUUUCAAUUUUACUCAAUGGUGUCUAUUUCCAGGACUUCUA
rnacentral:lncRNA from 1 species